AGCACCCCCACAUGACUGCAGAAGCCUUCACACCCACCCAGCACGCUCAGAUCAUCCAGUAACCUACCCAGGAAGUUCUUGUAAGCAUGCAUUUCUUAGUCAACACUGAAUGCCUUUAGACCGAGGUCAACCUUUUCAGCUGGUACUGUGGUGGUUUUCACUGCUGAAAGUACUGUCUUCAACCUCACCAAUGUCAGUGGCGGUGUCGGCGGUGUCACCAUCACCAUCAGAGAAAAAGAAAUAUGCCUUUAUGUCAUGAUGAGAUUGAGUGAUGGCCAUCCAGUGACCAGCUGGAUCUGACUGCCUUACAAGACGCAUGUGUAUGAUUAAGAGAGAGACAUUCGUGACUCCCAGAUGUACCUCCUUCCUGUCCCACAGUGUUCCUGAAGGGAGUGAGUUAUGGGGUAACUUAUAACACAGCAGGCUCUUCCUCAAGAUAGCUCUUGUCAAAACAGGAAGACAAAACUCGGGUUUCCAUGAGGAGACCACAGCUUGGGAUCCUGUCUGGAUGUACAAGCAGAAGCAUCUUCAUACUUUUCCAUUUCUAACCAUCAUGCCUCACCCCACCGUCCCAAGGCGACAUCUGCUGAGAGGUUAGUAUGUCCAGCUUGUUAAAGUUUGCAAACACUGUUUAAUUGUGUGCCUUCC
ensembl:lncRNA